rnacentral:rRNA from 1 species
AUGAUGAGGAUCCUCAGGUCAGAUGACAAAGGAUGGUACGUUUGCGAACACAGGGCAGAGCACAACCAUAAACUUUCUGUCAACUGUAUGGAGAAAUUACACUGGAAGUCUCAUCGGCAGAUAGAUAGACACACAGAGGACCUUCUGAAACAGCUGAGGGAAAGCAAUGUAAGCAUAAGCAAGGUUUACAGUGUUGUGGGCAGUUUUUUUGGAUCAGUGAAAGAGGUGACGUUCACCAAAAGGUCUCUGAAGAAUCUAUGUGGGAAGCUUAACCGCGAGCAACCAGAAAAUGAUGCAACUAAGACCAGCUGGACGCCCUAG